CCUACGGGAGGCAGCAGUGAGGAAUAUUGGUCAAUGGACGAGAGUCUGAACCAGCCAAGUAGCGUGAAGGAUGACUGCCCUAUGGGUUGUAAACUUCUUUUAUAUGGGAAUAAAAUGUUCCACGUGUGGGAUUUUGUAUGUACCAUAUGAAUAAGGAUCGGCUAACUCCGUGCCAGCAGCCGCGGUAAUACGGAGGAUCCGAGCGUUAUCCGGAUUUAUUGGGUUUAAAGGGAGCGUAGGUGGAUUGUUAAGUCAGUUGUGAAAGUUUGCGGCUCAACCGUAAAAUUGCAGUUGAAACUGGCAGUCUUGAGUACAGGAGAGGUGGGCGGAAUUCGUGGUGUAGUGGUGAAAUGCUUAGAUAUCACGAAGAACUCCGAUUGCGAAGGCAGUUCACUGGACUGCAACUGACACUGAGGCUCGAAAGUGUGGGUAUCAAACAGGAUUAGAUACCCUUGUAGUC
rnacentral:rRNA from 1 species